GUAGUUUUCGAGAAACUGAAUUUCAGCCUUUAAGAUUGCAUUUUAGCUUUGGAAAGGCUGAAAUUCAAUUUCUCGAAAACUAC